rnacentral:tRNA from 1 species
AGGCCGGUAGCUCAGACUGGAGGAACAACCGCGUGUUGUCCGGGCGAUAGAGCACUCGACUUUUAAUCGAGUGGUCGCGGGUUCGAAUCAGGCACAAAGAGGUGUUUGCGCAAGUCCCGUCCGGCCUA